UACAGAGGUCUCAAGCGUUGUUCGGAUUCAUUGGGCGUAAAGGGUGCGUAGGUGGCGUGGUAAGUCGGAUGUGAAAUCCCGGGGCUCAACCCCGGAACUGCAUUCGAUACUGCCAUGCUAGAGUACUGGAGAGGAGAUUGGAAUUUACGGUGUAGCAGUGAAAUGCGUAGAUAUCGUAAGGAAGACCAGUGGCGAAGGCGGAUCUCUGGACAGUUACUGACACUGAGGCAGCGAAGGCCAAGGGGAGCAAACGGG
rnacentral:rRNA from 1 species